rnacentral:tRNA from 1 species
GCCUGCUUAGCUCAGUUGGUUAGAGCAUCCGUCUCAUACGCGGGUUGUCACUGGUUCAAAUCUAGUAGCAGGCAAAG